UUACCCUCAAUAGGUAGACUACCC
rnacentral:rRNA from 1 species